UCACGGUGAACGGCCGGCCGUUGUUAUUUAUCGAGAGCACCCAUUCUGCAAUAAGGGUUGUGUGUCACAUUUUCUACAUGAAAUUGUUUGAAUAAAACAGAGAGUUUUUCAAUAAACCCCAAAUUACUUUGCCUGUGGCUUUCUAUUGGCGGACAAUCAAAUGUAAACCAUGGAAAAUUUUAAAAGAUGUAUCAUAUUAACGAUGAAAUUCCAAGGGAAAAUAUGUAUGUGGUUUUAUUUCCUUUAUGGCUUUAGUCACUACUUGGGUGAUUUGGUAAAUAAGCAUCAUUUCCAUCUUUCAUCUUCUUCAUACAUUCUAAUGAUUUUGUAUGGCCAAUGGCUGUCGCAU